ACAAACUUGGUCAUUUAGAGGAAGUAAAAGUCGUAACAAGGUCUCCGUUGGUGAACCAGCGGAGGGAUCAUUACUGAGUUAUCAAAACUCCAAACCCUUUGUGAACCUUACCGUCGUUGCCUCGGCGUGAGCUACGGCUACCCUGGAGCUACCCUAGAGUUACCCUAUAGCUACCCUGCACUUACCCUGCAGCUACCCUAUAGCUACCCUGGAGCUACCCUGGAGCUACCCUGUAGUCGGCUUCGGCCCGCCGAAGGACCGUUAAACUCUUGUUUUUACCACUGUUUCUCUGAAUUUUAAACUAAAAUAAGUUAAAACUUUCAACAACGGAUCUCUUGGUUCUGGCAUCGAUGAAGAACGCAGC
rnacentral:misc_RNA from 1 species